rnacentral:lncRNA from 9 species
GAAGAUUAAAUGACUCAAUUCAUGUCAAGCUUUUAUAGCAGUGCCUAGCACUUAGUAAGCACUCAAGUAGUGAAGCUGUUAUGUUAUUACAUUUUAAGUACUGUGCUAGGUAAGUAGAGACCUCAUCAGAGUUCUUAAAUUAUAUUCUCCCAUAGCCUGUAACAAACUCAGAGGCAGGACAGUCAGUGAAUAAUGGAGGUGCCCUAGAGCUGAGAGCUGGUAAACUGUUACAAGACGAUAGGGGUCUAGAGUCCAGUGAGAGGAGCAGUGGACUGUGUGGCUCCCAGGCCCACUUUCAGCUGGGUGACAACACUGUGGCCCUAAGGGGACAUGGUGAAUGGCCUUGUUCAAAUCAGUUUCCUGGCCAGGAGCAGUGCCAUGGUAAGGGAGGGGGAGGUCACGGUAGGAGAGGAGACAGAGAAGGGCAUAGCCCAUGGCAGAGGAUUUUGCAGAGAUCUGGCCCAGCCAAGGAGUCAGGGUUUAGGAAGGACUCUGGCCUACCACGGAGCUUGACUAUAAGAUAUUAGCAGGACCAAUGCCCAUUGUCCAGCCUAAACACACACUGUAAGGACUGGGGCAAGACAGAAGUGGGCCUGUGAGUGGGUGGGAAGGGGUCAGGCAUGAGGUCAGCGAAGGAGGGAGAAGGGGACUAACACUGAGCACGUAUAAUCCAAAGGCUCUACUGAAAGUUUAUAGGAUAGUUAAUAUGAGCCUGUGUUUGAAUGUAUGGAGAAAGGAAGUUUCAGUUGAGAGCUGUUCAGCUCAUGCAUUGGUGCUGGCCUUGUUGCCCAAUUCUAUUUGAUAUAUCCAAACUACUGAAUAUAUCUGUAUAUACUAAGAGCAUUAGAACACAGCUAUCUAAAACAGUUUAUUUUCCUACAAGCUUUCUUCCCUCCUCACCUCUGCAUCUUAGGUGGCUUCAUUACUUCAGGUGCCUGUUUAUAAUGUGAGAGUCCUCCUUGUCCCUUUCAUGGUUAUCAGACUUCUAGUCCAAUACAGUGAGCCUGAUACUUGCUCCUCUUUCUCUCAUGUUCUAAAGCCACCAGUGAUAGGUUUUUUUAGCUCAUCACCUACCUGGUGUCACUGUCUCCAGUCCCUUGUCAAGAUAUAAAAGAUCAUUUUGUUUAACACAUUAUUCAGAAUCACAUGCCAGCUACUUCCAAAUUAAAGAUUAUAAGGACUUAUCUCAGUUGUAAUCAGUGGCCUCCUACUCUUUACCUAGUUUUACUCAUUUCAGCAAAUCUCUCUUAGUGGGCUCCCCUCUGAGGACUUGGCUGGUCUCUGAGUACACAGACUGGUGUGAGAGAUGCUCAGUGUCUUUGGGAAGCUCUUCCCCAUAUGGUGAGCAAGGGCAUAGGCAAGAAGGUAGAUAAUAAUGGAUGUUCCAAAUGACCCUUUGGGUGUUAGUACCAUGAACUUUUUACAUGGACAGAAAUCACUUAGAGCAUCAUGGAAGUGAGAGAGCAAAACAGAACACACCACCAACAAAGAAAAACGAUAUAGAAUUGAUUGUGGGUGGGCAGGAGGAGAAACUUGAGCAGAGAAAUGAAGGUGGGGAUGCCUGCAGGAUGCCUAAGGAAUAGCGGAUCUGUGCAAGGAUGAGGUAGGAGGAAAGUUCAGGAAAGGUGAUCUGGACCAGAUUGUCAAGCACAUUAAAGUCCAAGCUGAGAAGUUUAGGGCUGCCAGUGGGAAUGGAAAUGAGAAGUGUACAUUGAAAAACUUUAUUGGGAGUUCCCAUUGUGGCUCAGUGGUUAAGGAACCUGACUAGCAUCCACAAGGGUGCAGAUUUGAUCCCUGGCCUCGGUCAGUGGGUUAAGGAUCUGGCGUUGCCCAUGAGUUGUGGUGCAAGUAGCAGACACAUCUUGGAUCUUGCCAUUGCUGUGGCUGUGGUGUAGGCCAGCAGCUACAGCUCCAAUGGAACCCCAGCCUGGGAACCUCCAUAUGCCAUGGGUGUGGCCCUAAAAAGACAAAAAAAAUAAAACUUUAUUGGGAACGGGGGAUGAGAAAGUGGUAUUAUUUUGCAAAGAGAUGUUUUAAGAUGCUUAAUUGGUUGUAUUUACAAUGGUUUUGGCUUAAGAUGCUAUUGUUGUAGUCUAUGCUUCAGGUAAUGAAGGUCAGGACCUGGACUGUGGUAGUCUGAAUUCAGUGUACAUUUAUUGUGUACCUACUAUGCACCAGAAACUGUCCUAGGUUCUCAAGGGAAACUUAUGUGCCAGAUAUGUUCCUACUCUCAAGUCAUUCAUAGUUUAGUGGGAGAUGCAAAGAAAACAAGUUUUAUAUUUGACACAUUCCAUAAGCAAACUUGGAAGCUAAUUGUGUGGAUAUGCAGGGCAUAGGAGAAGCCUGGGACCUGGAAUAAUAGUGGGGCCACUGAAAGGCUUAGAGGCAUCACACAGGAGGUGCAGAUCUGGGGCAGGAAGUGGUGCCUGGGGCAGAAAGGGGUGCCUUGCAGCUGGGUGUUUAGGAGUAUGUAGGGGAGAAGCUUGGAGCUGCUCUCAUUGACCCAGAGAGUGGAAUGGCAGGGAUGCCAUUGUAUGGGGGACACUAGACCUGACACAACUGAUAUGCUUUUCAGGAGACCAGUGGCUGAGCCAUAUAAUUCAUUAUGUGAGGUAAUAACCUUAUCCCAUAGGGUCAUCCCCAUUAAAAAUAUCCAUGUAUAGACCACUGACAACAAAAAUUUUAAAAAGUACAAGUUUUUAAAUUUUCGUGAAAGAUAAUUAUACCAAGAAGUCAGGUAUUAAUAGUACCUUGAAUCAAGUUCGUAUCUAAUUGUGUAUAAAAUUGUAACUAUUUCUCUUACCACUAGAUGUCACAAAGAUUCAGUUUUUAAAAGCCUUAUCUCUUCAGUCUGUGGCUUUGAAGCCUUUUGUUUGCACAAAAAUGUUUUCUAAGAAUCACAAGUAAAAUGAAAUAGCACUUUAGAAUUUAAAAAUUAUUACUGAAUACUCCAAAUAUGCACAAGGGUUUGCAGAAUCAUAUAAGCAGUAUCUUUUACCUCAAUCCAGAUUUAACAAAUACUAAAUUUUUACCAUGCACCUGACAGUUUUUGUUUUUAAAAGAAAAAACUAAAAUCUUGCCAUUGUUGUUCUCUUUGCCUUCUUCCGUCUCAUUCUUCUUAUUUCUUAUCCACAGAUAACCAUUACAUUGAGAUCAGUAGAUAUAUAUCCCAGAUAUAAUCCCUGAGGUUUUCACACAAGUGUUUAUUUAUUCAUUCAAAAACUACAUUGGUUCUUUUGAUGUGAGAUUUUAAUUUAAUGUUAAAUGGUAUCAUACUAUAGGUGUCAUUCUGCAACUUGCUUUUUUUCAUCCACAUUAUGUUUUCAAGAUUUAUCCCUGCUGAUUCAUGUGUAUCUACUUUACUUAUUUUAACUGUUGUGUUACCACUGUGCCCAUCCUUCUAUUGGCAGCUGUUUAGAGUGUUUUAAAUGCUUUAUUUAUAUACAUACAUCCUUGUAUGUAUCUCUUUGUACGAAUGUGUGCAGUUGAAGAUGUCUGAUGGUCUGCACACUGUUCCUUGAUUCUCAGUGACACUCUGUCUUAUAGACCAAGGUCUGUCUGUUGGGCCGCCUUCCUUGAGAAUGUGUCAAGGACCACAUCCUGAGUAUUGACACUCACCUGUUGAAACAGGUGAGAACUAGUGUGUGCAAGCUUCUUUGGCUCAGAGGUUCUGAAACUUGAGUCUGCAUCAGAAUUUGCUGGUGGGCUUUUUAGACUGUACCCCAGUAAGGCAGUAGGUCUGGGCUGGGGCUGGAGAAUGUGAAAGUUCCCAGGUGAUGGUGCUGCUUCAGCUCACCUAUCACAUGUUGGAUAAUAUGCUCUAGGGGAGAUCAGGCCCCUGUGUAGUUCCCAGUGCUUAUUCUCAAGCUUCUAGAUGAUGCUAAGCUGCUUUCCAAAGUGGUUGUGUGAGUUUAACCACACAGUCCUACCAGCAGCAUACAGGGCUCCCAUUGUGCUCUUUCCUUUAUGCUGCAUGGUAACAUUAUAACUUUUUUUUUUUUUUUUUUUUUUUUUUUUUUUUGCUUUUUAGCACUGCACCCGUGGCAUAUGGAGAUUCCCAUGCUAGGGGUCUAAUUGAAGCUACAGCUGCCAGCCUAUACCAGAGCUACAGCAACGCCAUAUCUGAGCCACAUCUGGGACCUAUGCCACAGCUCAUGGCAAUGCCAGAUCCUUAACCCACUGAGCGAGGCCAGGGAUGGAACCCGCAACUUCAUGGUUCCCAGUCAGAUUCCUUUCCACUGCGCCAUGACAGGAACUCCACAUUACAAUAUUUUUGCCCAUCACAGGAGUGUAAUGUAGUAACCUCUUCGUUGUUUAAUUUGCAUUUUCCCUGAUGAUUACUGAGGUUACAAAUUUUUUCAUGUUUAUUGGUCAGCAGGCUUGCUCUUCUGGGAAUUGCCUGUUCAUAUUAUUUGCUUAUAUUUAUUAUUGAUUUGUCUUUUUCUUGUUGACUUUCUCUGUUGGUUGUAUGUGUUCGGAAAUCUCUCGGGUGGUGAGUUGCCUUUUAACUUGGAUUAUAGUGUUUAUUGUUUGGCAAAAAUAUUGUUUUAUUUUGGUUAACUGUGCCUUCAUUUUUCCAUUCAUGUUUUCUGCUUUUUUGUUUUUUGUUUAACAAAUUAAUGGAGCACUAUUGAUUCUGAAAAACUUAUAUCCAGUCUGAUUUAAAGUUUAUCUUUAAAAAUUAUUUCC